rnacentral:lncRNA from 1 species
CAACGCCACCAAAAAAAAUUACAAUAAAAAUUGCUGUUAAUGUAAUUUCAUUUCAUAAAACUGCUGCUGAGCAUCCUCAGGUCCUGAUAAUCCAAGGAAAACAGGCCUGGAAGCGAAACCAGCAAUUUUAUCCAUGGGAAUGAAGGGAAUGAGGGGAUUGAGGGGAAUGAGGGGAAUAAAUGGAAUAAAGGAAUGAGGGGAAUGAAGGGAAUGAGGGGAAUGUGGGGAUGUGGGGAAUGAGGGGAAUGAGGGGAAUGAAGGAAUGAAGUAAUGAAGGAAUGAAGGAAUGAAGGAAUGAAGGGAAGAAUGAAGGAAUGAAGGAAUGAAGGAAUGAAGGAAUGAAGGAAUGAUGGAAUGAAUGAAGGAAUGAAGGGCUCUCCCAAUCCCAUUCUGGGGUUCUGUGUCGAGUUUCCCCUCUCCCAGUCAGGAAUGACAUCCCAGUAUUUAAACAGAGCCCUCAUCAAACAUAACACAGAGCCUCUCUUUCCAAGAGUUCAUAAUUCCUGGAAAUUCCAAAUGCCACUGGGAUAACCCACGGGAGCUCCAGGUUGUGCUGAGGGAAUAUUAAAAGUUGGAUUUGUUGUUCCAAAACAGCUGCAAAUCCUCUCCUGGGCUCAUCCAAACUUUCCUCUCUGUUGUGAAGAGCUUCCCACACUCAGGAACUCCCACUGGGAUAAACAUUCCUUGAGAUUCCCAACCACCCCUUGAGGAGAUUCCCAAAUAUCCCUUGAGGAGAUUUCCAGCCAUCCCUAGGGAAGAUUCCCAUUGCUGGGAUAAACACAGCCUCAGUUCCACGUGCCUCAACUCUGUCCUGGCUUAAUUAAGAACUUUAUAACUCUGAGGAUAUUGGAAUUAGACCUGGUUAUUUUAUUUUAUUUUAUUUUAUUUUAUUUUAUUUUAUUUUAUUUUAUUUUAUUUUAUUUUAUUUUAAUUUAUUUUAUUUUAUUUUAUUUUAUUUUAAUUUAUUAUAUUUUAUUUUAUUUCAUUUCAUUUCAUUUCAUUUCAUUUUUUAUAUUUUAUUUUAUUUCAUUAUUUUAAUUUCAUUUUUUUGUAUUUUAUUUUAAUAUUGCAUUGUAUUUUAUUUUAAUGUUUUAUUUAAUUUUAUUUUAAGAU